rnacentral:rRNA from 1 species
AUUGAACGCUGGCGGCAGGCCUAACACAUGCAAGUCGAAUGGUAACAGGAAACAGCUUGCUGUUUCGCUGACGAGUGGCGGACGGGUGAGUAAUGUCUGGGAAACUGCCUGAUGGAGGGGGAUAACUACUGGAAACGGUAUCUAAUACCGCAUAACGUCGCAAGACCAAAGAGGGGGACCUUCGGGCCUCUUGCCAUCAGAUGUGCCCAGAUGGGAUUAGCUAGUAGGUGGGGUAACGGCUCACCUAGGCGACGAUCCCUAGCUGGUCUGAGAGGAUGACCAGCCACACUGGAACUGAGACACGGUCCAGACUCCUACGGGAGGCAGCAGUGGGGAAUAUUGCACAAUGGGCGCAAGCCUGAUGCAGCCAUGCCGCGUGUAUGAAGAAGGCCUUCGGGUUGUAAAGUACUUUCAGCGGGGAGGAAGGGAGUAAAGUUAAUACCUUUGCUCAUUGACGUUACCCGCAGAAGAAGCACCGGCUAACUCCGUG